rnacentral:rRNA from 1 species
CAGCAGCCGCGGUAAUACGUAGGUGGCAAGCGUUGUCCGGAUUUAUUGGGCGUAAAGCGAGCGCAGGCGGUUUCUUAAGUCUGAUGUGAAAGCCCCCGGCUCAACCGGGGAGGGUCAUUGGAAACUGGGAGACUUGAGUGCAGAAGAGGAGAGUGGAAUUCCAUGUGUAGCGGUGAAAUGCGUAGAUAUAUGGAGGAACACCAGUGGCGAAGGCGGCUCUCUGGUCUGUAACUGACGCUGAGGCUCGAAAGCGUGGGGAGCGAACAGGAUUAGAUACCCCGGUAGUCCCUGUCUCUUAUAC